CCGCCUGUGCCCUCCCAUGGCUUAUUUUUUCUAUUUUUUUUUGUUUCCUUCGUAAUCGUUUAUAGAUGCAAACGUGUUUGUCACCGCCUCUAUCGGCCAAUAUCUAUCUUCCAUUUGUUCCUCCACCUCUUCACCGCUUCUUUGUAUGGAUUUUUCAUCUCUUUUGUCAUGUGGUUACUGCAGACGCUCUCCACUCAUGGACCUCAGUUCUUCUUCACCGACUUUAGACGUCUGAAAAUGCACACGAUGGACUAGGUCCGAAAUUUCCUUCAUUUGUUAUUUUCGUUUCUCAAUUUGGUCACCACUCACUCGAUGCUUUGUCGGUGACGAUUGUUGAAGGAAUGAUUGGGGGUCAGCUAGGUCGACGACUUUGGAAGUGUCGGAUGAUUCUUUCAGAGCAUAAGAAGGAUUUCAAAGCUAGAAGAUGCAUUUCAUACGAUAAACUUGAUUACAACCCUAAUUUCGCCUCUUCCUUAUUCAAUUCUCAUAUACGAGCAAUGAAAAUCAUCGUUGGGUUAAGCAGAAGAUAAAGGAUCGAGCAAAGUUACUUUCAGUCGGCAAGAGCAGAUGUCGGACUUAUAUUGAAUCUAUAGUUUGAAUUGGUUGGCAGUUGAAACCGAAGAGGGUUUCACCACCACCGCCCACCACCCUAUACGAUGCAACACCCUGCAACAGUAAUAAAUUAAAAACCAUGAUUACACUAUACUUAAAGGAUCAAACAAAACUCAGAGGUACAUAGAAGGAAAAUAGACAACACGAAGGAUUAAAUGGUAGAUAAACAGAAGCUUUGGCAUGAAGAAGACAACCAUGAAGCUUUGGCAGAAGCUUUGUUGAAAUGGGUCACCAGAAAUGACAGUUGGUUUGGUAGAAAUCACAUGUUAUUGCUAAUUUCAGAUUGUGCAGUGUUUCUGGCUAUUUGAUUUCACUUAUUCUCUUCAUUCUAUAUUCAUAUAUACAUUUGUUAUCUGUGAUGAGGUUUUUGAUUAGUUUUGAAUAUCAUUAUGAUUUGGGCAGUGCAGUAGGAAGACUAAAUUGGUGGAGAUUCAUGCGACACAUCCUAGAUUUCAUGUUAUAUUUAACUUCCUUUAUAACAGAAAUGGAGUAGUUCAUUCCAUAUUAACAAACAAAAGGUAAAUGUUUCGAAGUAGCACGUUGUAGUCGGACACAAUUUAACAGUAAGAUGAUAUAGGAAAAAUGUACAUGAAAGUAUAUUGCUAUUUUCUGGACAACUUAUCACUUGAAAGUUUCUACAGGUCUUAACAAAGUUAUCCUGCAUAGAAGGAUGGAAGUGGCAUUCUUUACGAGUUCUUUGAGCAUGGAAUGCAUGGACAAAGGAGAGAAUUGACUGGAAAGCUAUUGGGACAUAUUUUGACACUUACUCCUCAAAUGUAUGGCUGUCAAGUUAUUUAAAAGGUAAAGUUUGGUAUGUGGGAAUCACAUAAGGGAUGGAAUAGGACAUUCCGUUUCCAUUACAGAAUUUUGGUUAUUUUUUGUUUAGUAGUUGCUUCUUAAUUUCCGUGACUCCUUCAAGCACUUAAGAUAUUACCCCAAGGACCUGGUGUCCCCCUAUUCUUCACAUGAUUUUUUCCCUUAAUUGUAGUAUGUUUGUAUAGUAAUAUGCCAGCUAUCUGUAGUUUUAUUUUA